rnacentral:rRNA from 1 species
GGAUUAGAUACCCUGGUAGUCCACGCCGUAAACGAUGAAUGCUAGAUGUUGGUGAUUUCGGUCAUCAGUAUUGGAGCUAACGCAAUAAGCAUUCCGCCUGGGGAGUACGGUCGCAAGAUUAAAACUCAAAGGAAUUGACGGGGAUCCGCACAAGCGGUGGAGUAUGUGGUUUAAUUCGAGGCUACGCGAAGAACCUUACCAAUCUUUGCAUGUAAACAGAGUCUUUCUGAAAGGAGAGAUGCAUUUAGUUGGGUUUAACACAGGUGCUGCAUGGCUGUCGUCAGCUCGUGCCG